AUGGUGAGGCUGAGGCUGGGCUGAGGCAGGUGACGGUGUAAACAAACCGUGCUGUAAACAAAGCCUCAUGUAAACACUCGCUCGGCGUCCCUGCAAUAAUGCUAAGACGGAACCCCACCAAGAUAGAAUUGAAGCUUGAAGACCUGCAGGAGCUGACCAACAAGCUGAAGGGCGAGGCCGAGGCGAAGAGGACGAGCGACAAGGUGGAGGUGGACCCACAGAAGACGAGGAAGGAGGUGAUCGAGGAGCGCAUUGGCUACAACCCCAGGCCCAGGAGACCCAACUAGAGAGACAAGAUGCUGCCAGCACCAAGCCGAUCCAGCCUGCCCUAUCAGAUCCUGCUGUACCUCAAUGGCUGGUACAUGGCUGCCUUCAUCCUUGUGGAGACUCUGCUCCUCUUUUUCAAGAUGUCAGUCCUUCCAUACCCUCCCGGAAACAUUGUUGCUGAAGUUUUCUUGCUUGCAUUUCUGGGUGCCAUUGAGUGGGUCAGGAUUUUCAUGGGUAAGAAAGGCAAUCUCACAGAGGCCCUCAUAUCCAUAGCACUCUCAGUAAUCUUUACAGCUCCCUCUGUGCUUGCCCUCCUCUACCUGCUGCUGUGGCAGACAUAUGUGCUGAGGUUGGAGGUGAUCCUGGUGUCCUUUGCCCUUACAUUUGAAGGCAUUGAGCUCCUCUUUGCUUUGUUAGCCAUUAUUACCAUUAAUAAGUCUGGUAAAUCUGAGUUUUUAUAAUGAUAGACAAGUUGUUAUUUUUAAUAAAUUUUGUACUUAUUUUCUAAGCCAUUGUAGUUGGUGUAAAGAUGUGUUGUGUUUGGUGAGGGAUGUGUGGAUCUGACUCACCUCUUUGCCUGUGCCUGUGUGAGCGGUGUGUGAAAGUGACUUGCAGAUCAUAUCCUUAUUUCACAGUUCUCAUUCCUUUAUUCUGGAGUCAUUCAUUAUAUUUUCUUUUAUUCCUGAUCUGUUACAUAUCAACUGAUGUUGCUUUUAAUCUGGAAAGAUAUAAAUAUGUUUUUGAAAAUAAAGUAAUAAAAAUGUGAAUGCAAGAAGGUUGGCGUGAUUACAUACAGUCUUCUUGAUGGCAACAAUGCAUUUACAAUACCAGUGUGCAUCUCCAACCAACUUAGGAAUCUUAAUGAAUGAAUUAGAUAUUGUUGUCUAGACAUUUCAUUAUCAAGAAUAAAAUUUAGCUUGUAACAUCAGACCUUUCAGUCUUCCUAUAAAUAAGAAUCCUUAAUAACCCUGGUGUGCUUCAGUAUGUGAAAAUUAUAGAAAAAAUCAACCCUCUGCUAAUGAACUGUGAAUUAUUGUAUGUAAAUCAGGAUGAAUUUUUUUUUUUUUUUUCUAAUUCUACUGGUCCAGCUUUGUAAAAUGUAGUCCAUACUGAAUAACAGAGAAUGUUGGAUCCAUCUCAAGUUCCAGUAGAUUUGCAACAGAGAGACGGCCUACACUCGGUUGGAGGUUAACACAGCAAUCUUUAUUUUCAUAUGACCUGUCAUUCACUUUCAUGUGCAUAAUAUUUGUAUGUAAUUAAGUAAGGGCACACAACAAGGUCAUAUUGUAUCAAGUAGGUAUGAUUUAUGAAAAGAGCUCUGCAUCUUCCACCAAGAAACUUAUGUAAGCCAGGAUCAAACUUACAAUGUUUAGGCUGCAAACUGAGCACUGUACAACAUGCCUAAUUGACUCUCAUGUACAUUAAACAAAUGGAUACCAAAGUCAAAGUAUUAGUGGUAUUUUUAUUAUUCAUUUGGUUAAAAAUGCAAGAUUCAGCAAUUAUCCAAAAAAAUUAAUCAUCUUAGAAAUGAUAGGUUUAGAAAUGCCCAUUACUUUCAUUAGCUUUUACCUGUAUGUGAGACACAGAACACCCCAGUGCUGCUGAGCAGAGUUCUUGGGGCACUGAGUGGCUUGUGGUGACUCCUCCUGCCACACCUGAGGCUGAAAGAAUCACCACAUGUCCUGUCUGAGGCAUGGGGGGGGUCACCUCUCAGCUCAUCCCUCCACUGCCUUCAAUGGGCACCUCCUCCCUACCUGGUACAGUGCACACCAAAAAGUUUAGUCUGAAUUUCAAUUGUUGGUACCACUUAUGACAAAAAAAAAAAAAAAAAAAAAAAAAAAAAAAAAAAAAAAAAUCAACAAUAAGGAAUUGUACACUAAAUAAAUUUUACAAGAUUAUAUUAUGAAAUAGGGAAGAUUGUCUAUAUAAAUAUGCACGGCAAAAAUAAUAUGAAUGAUCCUAAAAAGUUCCAUUAUGUACUAUUAUAAUAAAUGAAGUGCUUGUUAUGGAAUGUUCUCAUCACACCUCAGUUUCUAGCCACCAAAAUACUCAUGUGUGAAAACUAAUAAUCCUAACUUUAUGAUGGCUAUAAAUAUGAGACAAAAGUUGAUUCAGAUUCAUAACAACACAUGAAUGAAGGUUGUGUUCAUAAACUAUUAUAGGCUAAAUGAUGAUGGGCUGGGAAGUAAAGGAAGAUGAUGGUCCAAUUAAACCUUACAUUAUCUCUGCACACACCAUACAUUAUGAAUAGUAAUGUUACUGUGUCAGUACACUGGAAAAAAUAUAGGAGGAGAAAACACUGUUAUGAAUGCAAGAAUUAUAUACAGAUCAGUAUGUACACAAGUAAUGUUCAUCUAUGUAUUGUCCAGCAGUUUUAAGAAAGUAUUUAUUCAACCAAAUGUUGUGUUGGAGAAUAAUAACUUUAAAACAGAA